ACAUGGUGGUUUAGUGGUUAGCACGUUCGCCUCACACCUCCAGGGUCGGGGGUUCGAUUCCCACUGUAGCCCUGUGUG